CACACAUUUUUCUUUAGAAUUAAAAGAUAGGUGUACUUUAUACGUCAAUAAGACAAAUAUAUAAAUUUACAGAAUACAUAUUGAGAGAGAGAAUAUCACAAUUCGACUAUAAUAUCCAUUCAAGAUGGAUCUUCGCAUAUAUUUCCUCAGUUAGAACUUUCUUAAUUCAGCUAAAUUAAGGACCAAACCAAAUGUGUAAUGCUAUUUUACAAAUCCAAGAUCAUGGCGGUUUACAGUCAUCUACAGUAUCUGUAAAUGUCGGUUUGUUACGUACUCUUAUACUUUAAAUGUCAAUACUGGGAACAUAUGUCCUGUGUGCAAUACUUUGCUUCUUACUACAGGGAAUUAACGUGGUCACUGAUGCAAGUGCCCUGCCUUGUGGAAGUAAACCCCAUAUCCAGAUAAUACAGAUUCCUAACCACAACAAUAUAAAUGUGAAUGUGGACCAUACUAAACCUGGGUCGACUGUAACAACUCCCGUGUUUAGACGGAUACCUAUAAACAGAAGAGGGUCAACCGGAAAUUCAGCUCAGCGUUUGAUGCACAAUAAAAAUCCAUUUCGUACAUUUAUUAUGACAUUCAUUAUUACAUGGUUGCUAUAUAUGUGAACGUUAACUUCAUUUCAUAAGUAAUAUUAUUUCUAACUAUCAUUAACAUAGUUCCAUGUCAUUGAUGAUUGGACAGACAAAUGGAUGAAUGUCUGUUUAACGUCCGAUGUCACUGCUAAAUCGGGUCAAGAAGACAGCUUAUUAUAUAUUUUUUAUCAGUUCUUUGAUAGUUUUGGCUUUGUAGGAUAUGGCAGUAAUACGAAUCAAGAUAGCGUAAAGCAAAACUUAUUCGAACAAAACGUAUUGGAUAUUUAUAAUUCCAUAUAUAAGAACCAGUGAUGGGACAACAUGACAUUCACAUUAAUACCAAUCAUGAUGCUAAAAAAAAUUGUGCAAUGAAAUAAUUUAUAGACUAUUCUUAUAUUCCUAAUUAAAUCGAGAAUGGAAAUGGGGAAUAUGCCAAAGAGACAAAAAACUGACCAAAGAGCAGAUAAACACUUAAUCUUGCUUAGAAUAUAUAGCAAUCUAAACAACAAAAAAACUAAAACAAGCAACAAAAUUAGGAUUUACCAGAGAUUUGAUAACCUCUCUUAACGGAAUUCUUAAUCUCAAUAUAGGAUUCUCACGAUAGACUACUAUGUAUUUUUUUAACAUGUAAACUUUAUACAAUUGUAUGUUUGAAUAAAACAUAAAGAUUAAAA